CCCUGGAAUUCUAUAUGUAGAUC
rnacentral:piRNA from 1 species